GACGGCAUUAAAGGGCGACGCCGGGGAGGAAGCGAGGUGGCGGUGGCGGUGGCUUGUAGGCCUGCGUGUGCUGUCCGGCGGCGGUCUGGCACCCGCGCCCGCCUCCAGGCUCCGCUGCUGGACCAGACGGCGGGGGUGGCGCGCUGAGCCCGGCGCAGAAGGAUACGCCCAGGGUUUCAGAGUCGAUGGAGUGUAUUCAGCUGUUAUAUUAUUUAUGACUCUCCGGAUGUCGACGAAAUGAUUGACAACACAUGAUGAUUACAGAGCCUCCACUGCUGUGUCCGUGAGCAGACUCUUGGAAAAGCCUGCAUUCGUGCAACAAUGAAUGAGCGAUGAGCUACCUGGUGGACCGGCCCGGACUCUCAUCCUAGAAGCUUUAGAACCUCGGUCAACACACCCUUCUCAGGUCACGGCUGCUGUGCUUGUCCACAUACCAUCAAAACUGGGCAGAGAGGCAGGCUCAGGGUUGGGAUGAACAUUACAUUCCAGAAACUUCGAUGGGAGCAGGUGCACAGGGAGGAAGAGCAAUCCAAGGGGCAGGGACUGUGCCCACCAGAGAGCACAGAGAUGCACCAACACAGACGUGAAACACACUCCUGUCGUGCUCGGUGCUCCGCGGGGCUCCUGAACAGUUAUCCGUUCUUGACGGCCCAGGUGCUCAGUGAACUGAACAAAAAUGAAUCCGCCCAGCUCUGAGACAAGGGGCAGGGGGCGCCGUGGGGUCUGCACCCGCCACCGCUUGCCAUCCUCCUACUUCCGGGAUGGCCUGCAGAUGUGGCUGGUUCUUCCAAAGGAGGAGAGUGGCUGCUCAGCCAGAUCCCCUGGGACGUGGCGGGGGGACGAGGGUGAGCCCUUCGAGGGAAGUUAGGCUCCCUGGUAUAUCAUAUCUGAAGGCAGCACCUGCCGCAGGGGCCGAGCCCAGGACAGAGCUGCUGUGAAGGGACCCCGUGGCACCGUCCAAGGGACGUCUGCCGUGCCUCAGCCCCUCCAUCGCUGAGUGUCCCGGGCAUGGAGCAGGCAGAGCAGAGGCGAGACCUCAGGGGACAGCCUUGGGCAGCAACCGGGAGGACCUCAGUGCAGGAACUCCCCUGUCCCCCUCCUACAGCACACUCAGUGCCUCCGGGCUGCCUCCGACCUCCCACGCCCCGCCCCCUUCGCCCCUUCAGCCCGGGUGUCCCAGCCCACCCGGACCUUCUCGACUGGGAACCUCCCGGACACUAGGGAGCAGGGAGCCUCUGCAAGGCGGCGAAUCCCUUCGCUGCACCAUCUACCAGCCGUCUCUAGAUGGCGCAGAGUGGAGGAAAGACUUGGGCCACCCUCCAGCCAGGAAUGAGCAGAGGCCAGAAUUGAGGAAUGCGUAAGGCUCGCUUGGAGAGGUGCCUGGUCAAGAGGAACACAUCCGCAUUUGAAACGAGAUGCCUGGACAGAGUCCCAGGAGUCCUGUGGGAGCCAGGCCCAGGGACACCUGAGCCCAAACCCUCAGCCCGCUCUGUGCCCCUGGCACAGGGACAGCCAGGGAGCCCAAGACGGGGGGCCGCCACCCCCCAGCCUUAAACGUCAAGCAGUGUGCAGAGGGUUCUGACGGGCAGGGGCAGAAGCCCAGGCCAGCCAAGCAGGCACAGGGCGGGGUCUCUGGUGGUCCACAAUGCACCCUCCCACCCAACGGGCUGGUAACACCCCCGGGGCCCCGAUGCCCCCGAGAUGCCUCCUCUGCAUCCCCCUAGAGCAGGCUGCGUCUGUGACCAGUCCCCAUCCCUCUGGCUAUGGGGUCCCUGGUGGGCGAGAACCUCCCACUCCACCUGACCUGGCCGUCUCUGGGCCAACUGGUCAGUGGCAAUAGGCCGGGCAUUCAGGACGUGCUUGUCAAGUGAACCGGGUAGAAGUGACCAGAAGAAAAUGGAGAUGCCGAGAACUAGGCCCACCCUGUCCCGGCCCCACAGGCCUGAAACCCUUCCCCCUUUCCUGGACCUCUACCCCAGCUCCAUGGUCCAGGGGCAAUGGCUGUGGGGCCGGGAGAGCUCCUCCUCCCCAGCUGCACCGCAUCGUUUAUAGAUAUCGGUGACCAGUCUAAGAGAAGCGUCUCCGCUCGGGAAGGUCUGAGGCCCAAACAGGUUAUUCCUGGUUCAGGAUGUACCUUGGUAGGAUACAGAGGGAAGGGAGGUGGAGAAAGUGGCCGGAGCCUCACCUCGCCCAUCUGUAAAAUGGGUCCAUAAUCCCAUCCUGCAUGCCUCACCGGCUUCUUGUAAAGAUCGAGGGAGAAAGGAAAGAGCUAGACAGAAGAGGUGGGGAGGCGGGGAGAGAGGGCAAGAAGAAGGAAGGAGGGAGACUGAAGGGCACCUUCUGUCCUUUCAAGCCUCGGAGAAGCUGCUGGUGCAUGGCUGGUGCCUGGUGGAGGGCUGCCCUCAUAAGCUCUCAGCCCAGGGUUCGGUUCUGGGAGCUGUCAGAAUGGGGCUGUGGCCCCGCGUCACGGGGGGGGGGGGGGGGGCUCUUGGGCUCUCUGGCUCCCGGCCGAGCACAUGCCUUCCCCUCCCUGCCUGCUUGUUUCCUGCUUUCCUCGGUCAUCCUGUCAACCACUGACCCCAGAGGCUCCUCCUGGGCUGCCCGCCUCAGCCACACCUGGAGUCUGACAGUCCUGCCUGAGGCACAGCAGAGGCUGCAGGGAGCUGAGAGUCAGGCUCGAGUCAUCACAUCCACAGGUGGCCCAGGGGGAGGGACAAGGGGUCCGGGGGUGUCAGGGACUGAAGGGUUCAGGGAAAUUGGAAGGAGGGCCUGGACAGUGUCUGAGCUAGCCAGGACGGCCGUGCCGGGCUCCCGGCCCUGCCCCCUCCUGCAGCCCCAGCACCAUGCCGGCUGCCCGGGGCCCACAGCCUGCGAGGCUCGUCUCCCCUCCUUUCCUGAGCAUCCCCCUUGAGUCACGGGCCUGGCAUCACUCACUGAAACCCGGCAGCGACUCCAGGUGCAGCCAGAGAGCUGGCUGGGGUCAGGCGGCCCCCGCCCCGUGCGACACGGGCACAGCCAGACUCUCUCUGGCCCUCACCUUCCACAACUGUGAAAUGGGGGUGUAAUCACUCUUCCAUGCACCUCUUCUAAAGAUCGGACUCCUCCCAGCUCUCAACUACAACACACAACGCAGACCUACUUUUCCUGUUGAGAUUCCUGCCCCUGCUGUUGGCGGGACAGGCAGACCCUGACUCGGAGGCUGUUUGCGGCCGGUGGUGCUGGUGGGGAUGGGUGGGGCAGCCCGGCAGAGGAGCAUCCUUUAAAUGUCUGCCCGUGGAUCUGGAUUCACGCUAUGACUCAUGGUCAUGCUGGCUUCAGGCCAUUUCCUUGUUGGAAGAAGAGCCUAAUGAAAGGGUGAAUUCUUUCCUGCAGGAGUUUAAGCAGCCGACAAAGCAGGCUCUGUGUACCUGGAGACUUUGCCCUUCCUGCUUACGGCUUCCAGGGAAGUCACAAACCGUGCAGAGAGAGCGGCAGGCUGGGAGUCUUGGGGUGUCAGAGCCGGCUGGCGUCUCAGACCCGUCUCUUCUGCGCCCCGAUUUUGCAGACGGGCAAGCUGAGGCUCAGAAACGAGCUAUGUAUUUAAGGCCGAGUUGGGUUGGGCCUGGCAUCCCUGAUCCCCCAGCUGGUGUGGGUUUACUGGCCCCUCCGCUGUUGAGAGCAAGCAACCCCCCAAAGGGGAGGAAGAACCAAGGGGAGAGAGGUGCAGUCGCCGCAGAAGAAGGAAGGAGGGUACAAAUGCAGGGGUUUCUCUCUCAGGCUCCCACCCCUGGUUCUUGGGUACUGCAGGGGCUAAAGGGGCAGAAAACCAGAGGGACAAUCCCAAGGAACACCACUCUACUUCCUGACCUCCCCAAGCAGUUGUCCACAGGGAGGCCCAGCUAUCGGGGCCCUGACCGCUGAGACCCAUGCUUCCCUUUGAACGUGGGGGAGCCUUUGGGAGAGAAAAGCACAUCCAAGGCCCCCGUGUCGGCGGGAAAGACCCUGAGAGUCUCUCUGGCCCCCAUGUGUACUUUGAAGGGAAGUGGGGCCCAGCAAGGCAAGGGGAACGGCCCAAGGUCGCCUGGUUGGCCACCGGAGCGGCCUGGGGCCAGAAGAUGUCCCUCAGCACCCAGCCAGGGCUCCCCCCACACCAGCUGCCUGUGUGUCCGAGAGGCUAGAGUUCUGGCCCAGAGAGACAGGCUGGCUCUCAGCAGCAGCAGCAACACGGAGCCAGGCUCUCCGCCAGGCCCCGUGCAGGCAGCUACACGCCAGCUGGCCUCUGGGGCUGGGCGGUGACCAGGCGGCCCCCAGGCCCGGGUACAGAGCAGGUUCGGGGCCUGGCUCCGGGCGAGGCAGAGGCGGGACCCCACUGUGCCUCGCCCAGCGGCCUGAGGACCGCCUACCUCCAGAUCAGCUGGGGAGAGCGGGGAUGUGCAGGCCCUCAUCCCGCCCCCCACCCCAGCGAAUCAGGGUCUCUGGGGGUCGUGCCUCCCCUGCUCCACGCACCCUCAACCUUGGCCUGUGGACAAGCAGGAGGCAAAAUUGGGUGUGUCCCCAGGGGCGGGGCGCCCUCAGCACCCCACCUACCAGGGCAAGAACGUUGCGUGUGGAAUUUUCCAUGACCCACAAACGUGCGGGGAGGCUGUGGCAGACUUGCUGGCCCGCGGCUCACGUGCAGCCGCUAAUUGGCGCUGCCUGUUCUAUUUCUGCUCCAGACCCUAAUGAGGUCACCCAGCCAGCACCACCCGAGAUGAACCCAGCUGGACGGCUUGGGGCCCAGGGGCCCAGCGGCCCAGCUGCAUGCCUGGGGGAGGCUACGAAACCUGGAUCAGGGCAGCCUGGGACGAACGCCCACUCGAAAUGGAAAGAUUCACCAGGGUGCGGGGGUGGGGAACGUCGCAGGCAGGCCCGGGGAGCCGCUCACCCAGGACAGGCUGCGCGACCUUGGGGGCCCGCCUGGUGGGGCGCCUUCCUGGCCGGGUGGGUUGUUGGCUGGUCUGAAGGGGGGAGGGCCAGAGGGGCUCCGGAAGUCACAGAAGCCCUUGGAGUAUCAGCUGCAGACCCUGGCUGGGCCCCCCACUCGACCUGCACAGCCAGGCGGGGACCCCAGGGCUCCUCCCUGCCAUCCACCACACCAGUGGCAGAAAAACACGGCUGAAAACGCUCACGUGAGCACCAUUUAAAGUAUGCAAUUCAGGGCCGCCUGGCAGCCCUUUAUCUCCAGGGCAUGCGUUCGAGCCCUACGUUGGGUGUAGAGAUUACUUAAAUAAACUUAAUAAAAAUUAAAAAAAGUGUAGGGGCUCCUGGGUGGCUCAGAAGGUUAAGGAUCCGACUCUUAGUUUCAGCU